rnacentral:rRNA from 1 species
AUUGAACGCUGGCGGCAUGCCUUACACAUGCAAGUCGAACGGCAGCAUAGGAGCUUGCUCCUGAUGGCGAGUGGCGAACGGGUGAGUAAUAUAUCGGAACGUGCCCUAGAGGUGGGGGAUAACUAGUCGAAAGACUAGCUAAUACCGCAUACGAUCUACGGAUGAAAGUGGGGGAUCGCAAGACCUCAUGCUCCUGGAGCGGCCGAUAUCUGAUUAGCUAGUUGGUGGGGUAAAAGCCUACCAAGGCAACGAUCAGUAGCUGGUCUGAGAGGACGACCAGCCACACUGGGACUGAGACACGGCCCAG